GACACCGAUGACUUCCCGAUUAAGAUAGGACUGCAUCAGGGGUCAGCUUUGAGCCCUUAUCUUUUUGCUUUGGUGAUGGAUGAGGUCACAAGGGGUAUACAAGGAGAUAUCCCAUGGUGUAUGCUCUUUGCGGAUGAUGUGGUGCUAGUUGACGAUAGUCGGACGGGGGUAAAUAGGAAGUUAGAGUUAUGGAGACAAACCUUGGAAUCGAAAGGGUUUAGGCUUAGUAGAACUAAAACCGAGUACAUGAUGUGCGGUUUCAGUACUGCUAGCUGUGAGGAGGAGGAGGUUAGCCUUGAUGGCCAGGUGGUACCUCGGAAGGACACCUUUCGGUAUUUGGGGUCAAUGUUGCAGGAGGAUGGGGGUAUUGAUGAAGAUGUGAACCAUCGAAUCAAAGCCGGAUGGAUGAAGUGGCGCCAAGCUUCUGGCAUUCUCUGUGACAAGAGAGUGCCACAAAAGCUAAAAGGCAAGUUCUACAGGACGGCGUUUCGACCCGCAAUGUUGUAUGGCGCGGAGUGUUGGCCGACUAAAAGGCGACAUGUUCAACAGUUAGGUGUGGCGGAGAUGCGUAUGUUGAGAUGGAUGUGUGGCCACAUGAGGAAGGAUCGAGUCCGGAAUGAUGAUAUACGAGAUAGAGUUGGGGUAGCACCAAUUGAGGAGAAG
rnacentral:rRNA from 1 species